rnacentral:rRNA from 1 species
GACGGAGGGUGCUAGCGUUGUUCGGAAUGACUGGGCGUAAAGGGCGCGUAGGCGGCGCCGUAAGUCGGGUGUGAAAUUUCGGAGCUUAACUCCGAAACUGCAUUCGAUACUGCGGUGCUUGAGGACUGGAGAGGAGACUGGAAUUCAUGGUGUAGCAGUGAAAUGCGUAGAGAUCAUGAGGAAGACCAGUGGCGAAGGCGGGUCUCUGGACAGUUCCUGACACUGAGGCACGAAGGCCAGGGGAGCAAACGGG